rfam:Brassica oleracea var. oleracea cultivar TO1000 chromosome C3, whole genome shotgun sequence
GGAAUAUAAAAACCCGUCUUUUAACUUUUAUCUAAAAAAGCUAAGAACCGGUUCUUAAAUAAGAGUUUUAAGAGCCGGUUCUUAACUUUUUUAGUUAAAAAUUGGAAGACGGGUUCUUAUAUUUC